UUACGGGAGGCAGCAGCUAAGAAUCUUGCGCAAUGGGCGAAAGCCUGACGCAGCAAUUCCGCGUGGGGGACGAAGGCCCUCGGGUCGUAAACCCCUUUUGUGAGGGAAGAAGUUCUGACGGUACCUCACGAAUAAGACACGGCUAACUACGUGCCAGCAGCCGCGGUAAUACGUAGGUGUCGAGCGUUGUCCGGAUUUAUUGGGCGUAAAGCGCCCGCAGGCGGCUUGGUAAGUUCGAGGUGAAAUCUCCCGGCUCAACUGGGAGGGUGCCUCGAAAACUAUCAGGCUUGAGGCAGGGAGAGGGAUGUGGAAUUCCCGGUGUAGUGGUGAAAUGCGUAGAUAUCGGGAGGAACACCAGUGGCGAAGGCGGCAUCCUGGCCCUGUCCUGACGCUCAGGGGCGAAAGCGUGGGGAGCAAACCGGAUUAGAUACCCCGGUAGC
rnacentral:rRNA from 1 species